rnacentral:rRNA from 1 species
CGCAAGUUUCCGUAGGUGAACCUGCGGAAGGAUCAUUG